rnacentral:tRNA from 1 species
GAGGGUGUAGCUCAAGUGGUAGAGCGCAUGCUUAGCAUGCAUGAGGUCCUGGGUUCAAUCCCCUGUACCUCCA